rnacentral:rRNA from 1 species
GGUGAACGCUGGCGGCGUGCUUAAGACAUGCAAGUCGAACGAGCUCUUCGGGGCUAGUGGCGCACGGGUGAGUAACGCGUAACUGACCUACCCCAAAGUCGCGGAUAACGAUUCGGAAGAAUCGCUAAUACGUGAUGUGCUGUCAGAUCCUGUUCUGCCAGUAAAGAUUUAUUGCUUUGGGAUGGGGUUGCGUUCCAUCAGCUAGUUGGUGGGGUAAAGGCCCACCAAGGCGACGACGGAUCGCCGGCCUGAGAGGGUGGCCGGCCACAGGGGCACUGAGACACGGGUCCCACUCCUACGGGAGGCAGCAGUUAGGAAUCUUCCACAAUGGGCGAAAGCCUGAUGGAGCGACGCCGCGUGAGGGAUGAAGGUCUUCGGAUCGUAAACCUCUGAAUCAGGGACGAAAGACACUUCGGUGGGAUGACGGUACCUGAGUAAUAGCACCGGCUAACUCCGUGCCAGCCGCCGCCGUAAAAC